UNCCCAGGAUCAUUUAUUCUUGCCUUUAA
rnacentral:piRNA from 1 species